GACAGAGGGUGCAAACGUUGCUCGGAAUUACUGGGCGUAAAGCGCGUGUAGGCGGGCUGAUAAGUCGGGAUGUGAAAUCCCUGAGCUCAACUCAGGAACUGCAUUCGAAACUGUCAGUCUUGAGUAGUGGAGAGGAAAGCAGAAUUCCUGGUGUAGAGGUGAAAUUCGUAGAUAUCAGGAGGAACACCGGUGGCGAAGGCGGCUUUCUGGACACUUACUGACGCU
rnacentral:rRNA from 1 species